CACGUAGGGCGCGAGCGUUGUCCGGAAUUAUUGGGCGUAAAGAGCUCGUAGGCGGCCUGUUGCGUCCGCUGUGAAAGCCCGGGGCUUAACCCCGGGUCGGCAGUGGAUACGGGCAGGCUAGAGGUAGGUAGGGGAGAAUGGAAUUCCCGGUGUAGCGGUGAAAUGCGCAGAUAUCAGGAGGAACACCAAUGGCGAAGGCAGAUCUCUGGGCCGUAACUGACGCUGAGGAGCGAAAGCAUGGGGAGCGAACAGG
rnacentral:rRNA from 1 species